UGGUGCACAGUGCAGUGUCAAGUGGAGCUAAGACUCUGAGGAGAGUAUACAACAGGCACCUCGAGGUUGUGGAAGGAGGGCAUCCCCUCGUCAUGCGAAAGGCCCUGCAGAUGCCGCUGUGGGAAGCAGCUCCCGCCUGGUCAAAGAAGGGACAGCUGUGAACUCCUCCUCCCUGACUGCUGCUGGCAAGGAAGCAACAUGGCAGCCGUGCCAGCUAAGAAGAAAUAGAGGCCAAACAGCCUCUUCAAGGGAAAAGAUGGCACCCGAAGAAAAGGUGCAGAACUGUGACUUGCACAUUUCAUGCUUAACCUGUGAGUCCACAGCAGUUCUCUGCAGGGACUUCUCACUGGGAGCACACUGUGAGGAAAAGAGGAAAAUAGCGGAAAAGAGGAAAACAGCUAACAUGAAGACCACAAGCUCCCAUUAACACCUGCUUUCCUUUGUCAGCCAUGUGGCCACAGCAGCAGCCAGUUUGUGACUCCACCCUUUUCUGUAGGAGAACCACCGAAGUUGGAUGUGUAAUGGUAAGGUUUUGCCCCAAUGGCAGGCAGGAAUAGCAAUGAUCCUUGUGUAAUGUUGU